rnacentral:rRNA from 1 species
CAUAGGUUAAUGAGGCGAACCGGGGGAACUGAAACAUCUAAGUACCCCGAGGAAAAGAAAUCAACCGAGAUUCCCCCAGUAGCGGCGAGCGAACGGGGAGCAGCCCAGAGCCUGAAUCAGUAUGUGUGUUAGUGGAAGCGUCUGGAAAGGCGCGCGAUACAGGGUGACAGCCCCGUACACAAAAAUGCACAUGCUGUGAGCUCGAUGAGUAGGGCGGGACACGUGGUAUCCUGUCUGAAUAUGGGGGGACCAUCCUCCAAGGCUAAAUACUCCUGACUGACCGAUAGUGAACCAGUACCGUGAGGGAAAGGCGAAAAGAACCCCGGCGAGGGGAGUGAAAAAGAACCUGAAACCGUGUACGUACAAGCAGUGGGAGCACGCUUAGGCGUGUGACUGCGUACCUUUUGUAUAAUGGGUCAGCGACUUAUAUUCUGUAGCAAGGUUAACCGAAUAGGGGAGCCGAAGGGAAACCGAGUCUUAACUGGGCGUUAAGUUGCAGGGUAUAGACCCGAAACCCGGUGAUCUAGCCAUGGGCAGGUUGAAGGUUGGGUAACACUAACUGGAGGACCGAACCGACUAAUGUUGAAAAAUUAGCGGAUGACUUGUGGCUGGGGGUGAAAGGCCAAUCAAACCGGGAGAUAGCUGGUUCUCCCCGAAAGCUAUUUAGGUAGCGCCUCGUGAAUUCAUCUCCGGGGGUAGAGCACUGUUUCGGCAAGGGGGUCAUCCCGACUUACCAACCCGAUGCAAACUGCGAAUACCGGAGAAUGUUAUCACGGGAGACACACGGCGGGUGCUAACGUCCGUCGUGAAGAGGGAAACAACCCAGACCGCCAGCUAAGGUCCCAAAGUCAUGGUUAAGUGGGAAACGAUGUGGGAAGGCCCAGACAGCCAGGAUGUUGGCUUAGAAGCAGCCAUCAUUUAAAGAAAGCGUAAUAGCUCACUGGUCGAGUCGGCCUGCGCGGAAGAUGUAACGGGGCUAAACCAUGCACCGAAGCUGCGGCAGCGACGCUGAUGCGUUGUUGGGUAGGGGAGCGUUCUGUAAGCCUGCGAAGGUGUGCUGUGAGGCAUGCUGGAGGUAUCAGAAGUGCGAAUGCUGACAUAAGUAACGAUAAAGCGGGUGAAAAGCCCGCUCGCCGGAAGACCAAGGGUUCCUGUCCAACGUUAAUCGGGGCAGGGUGAGUCGACCCCUAAGGCGAGGCCGAAAGGCGUAGUCGAUGGGAAACAGGUUAAUAUUCCUGUACUUGGUGUUACUGCGAAGGGGGGACGGAGAAGGCUAUGUUGGCCGGGCGACGGUUGUCCCGGUUUAAGCGUGUAGGCUGGUUUUCCAGGCAAAUCCGGAAAAUCAAGGCUGAGGCGUGAUGACGAGGCACU